CCAGAGGUACCCAAGUGGCCAACGGGGGCAGACUGUAAAUCUGCUGGGUUUUCCCUACGGAGGUUCGAAUCCUCCCCUCUGGA
rnacentral:tRNA from 7 species